rnacentral:rRNA from 1 species
AGCAGCCGCGGUAAUUCCAGCUCCAAUAGCGUAUAUUAAAGUUGUUGCAGUUAAAAAGCUCGUAGUUGAAUUUUGGGUCUGGCCGGGCGGUCCGCCCUCCGGGUGAGCACUGUUCCGACGCCGGGCCUAUCCUUCUGGAGAGUCGGCAUGUCCUUUAUUGGGUGUGCCGGGGAACCAGGACCAUUACCUUGAAAAAAUUAGAGUGUUCAAAGCAGGCGUAUGCUCGGAUACAUUAGCAUGGAAUAAUGAAAUAGGACGCGUGGUGCUAUUUUGUUGGUUUCUAGAACCGCCGUAAUGAUUAAUAGGGAUAGUUGGGGGCAUUAGUAUUCAAUUGUCAGAGGUGAAAUUCUUGGAUUUAUUGAAGACUAACUUCUGCGAAAGCAUUUGCCAAGGAUGUUUUCAUUAAUCAAGAACGAAAGUUAGGGGAUCGAAGACGAUCAGAUACCGUCGUAGUCUUAACCAUAAACUAUGCCGACUAGGAAUCGGGCGAUGUUAUUCUCAUGACUC